AAUAAGUGUAGUUUUGCACUAUUCACGUUCAACGUUUGACUGUUCGUCUUAUUUAAAAAUUUUUUAUGAUUAGUAUUUUUAUUGCUAUUAGAUGAUAAAAAAUGAAUAGUACUUUAUGUGUGACUAAAUAUUUUCAAAUUUUUCAAAUAAGACGGACGGUCAAAUGUUGGGCACGGAUAUCUACGGCUGCACUUAUU
rnacentral:pre_miRNA from 1 species